UGUCGCCCUGGCAAUGGGCAAAGAGACACUUUGUUGGUGGUGGUGUCCUUAGAUCAGUCAGGGACAGAGCAGAUGGCAGUCCUUAGUUCAUCCUAGCUUGAUGCUCAGCUUGGUGGGCAAAGUUAUCUUAUGCCUAAACUCAUAA